rnacentral:rRNA from 1 species
GAUCAUGGCUCAGGAUGAACGCUAGCUACAGGCUUAACACAUGCAAGUCGAGGGGCAGCAGGACGAUAGCUUGCUAUUGUUGCUGGCGACCGGCGCACGGGUGAGUAACGCGUAUCCAACCUUCCCCUUAGUAGGGCAUAGCCCGGUGAAAAUCGGAUUAAUACCCUAUGUUGUGUCAUGAGGACAUCUGAAUAACACUAAAGAUUUAUCGCUAAGGGAUGGGGAUGCGUCCGAUUAGGUAGUCGGCGGGGUAACGGCCCACCGAGCCCUCGAUCGGUAGGGGUUCUGAGAGGAAGGUCCCCCACACUGGUACUGAGACACGGACCAGACUCCUACGGGAGGCAGCAGUGAGGAAUAUUGGUCAAUGGGCGCGAGCCUGAACCAGCCAAGUAGCCGUGCAGGAUGACGGCCCUAUGGGUUGUAAACUGCUUUUAUACGGGGAUAAAGUGAGGGACGUGUCCCUUAUUGUAGGUACCGUAUGAAUAAGGACCGGCUAAUUCCGUGCCAGCAGCGGC